rnacentral:lncRNA from 1 species
UUUUCCUUGUUAUCCAAAGGAUUCCAAACCAUUAAUAAAAUAGAACAUUGAAAUUCAUUCAUCCACUGCCACCAACCAACCAACCAAACCCACAACCACAAACCCCCAACCACAACCACUACCCCACCCCACCUCACUUGAAAUUUGAACUAAGAAUAAUUUAUUCAGUCGAUUUGUAGAGUGGCAAGGAGAUUAUUUAUUAUUUCAUAUAAGCUUUCAUUUGUAUUUACUGAAGGAUUUGGGUUGAAGUUGGAGUUUAAUGAAGCUUUAUCAGAAUGAGUAGAUUUGAAAUUAGGUGAGAAAUGGAUUUUGAAUUUGAGGAACAUGUGUAGCCUUUGGUGGAGGCAGUGCGUUGGUAAGGUACUGGGCAUUCGGCAUGUAGUCGACAGUGAUGUGGCAAUUGGCUUUAACUAUUGUGGGUAUGGGAGAUGUGAUAGGAUGAGGUACUGAGAAAUUAAAUCAUCACCUGAUUUUUGAAAAGAUUCUAUAAGUUUGAUAUUUUUGAAAUUCUAUUUUUAAUGAUUAGUUGUUAUAAAUUUUUCCUUUUAUAAAAGGGUUGAUUUUCCUUUACACGGGCUCAACUAUAGUGAUAAGCCCAAUUAUCCCUUUAUUCAACCCGGACUAACUAGCCGCUACAGUAACAUACCUUGGUUCAAUCCUGGCUUCUGUGAAUUUUGCCAAAUGGGACAAGCCUUGACCACGAACCAAGAUGGACCAAUUAGGUAGUUCCAACAAGUUGAGUUGGUUCAUAUUCUUGUCGGGAUGCGUACCCAUAUUGGCACCUCUAUCAUAUUUUAAAGGAAAAAAUUCAUAAAUAAGAAAUUAAUUAUUGCCUAUUUUAAAAUUAAAAAUACAAAUUUCAUAUUUCAAAAAUAAUAUAUUUAUUACAAUUUAUUUAUGAUUUAAUUAAUUAAUUAAAUAUAUUAAAAUCACAAAUUUAUACAAUUGGUCACAAAUUCACAAAUUUAAUUAGUCACAUAUUCUUUUUUGGUCACAUCAAAAUAUUUAUAUGUCAUAAAUUAUUUUAGGGUUACAAUUGAAAUAUUUUAUAAGUCACAAUUUGUUUAUCGAUCACAAAUCACGAACAUUAUAGAUCACAAUUUAUUAGACAGUCACAAAUUAUCAAAGUAUCAAUCACAAAUUAACAAUUUUUUAGGUCACACAUUAUUUCUUGAUUACAGUUCAUCACUUUCAUUGAUCACAUAUUGUUUAUUACUCACAGAUUAACCAAUUUAAUAGUUACAGUCAACCAAAUAAUUUGUAACUACCAUAAAUCCUUGUGACCAUCAACUCACCACUAUACCAACAGCACCACCGUCACUGUCGCCGUUGCGGUGAGGCGAAAACCACCAUUUUCAACUAUAAAACCAUCACCCAUCAACACAUCCAUGUUGGUUCACCACCACCAACUCCACCGACAAAAGCCACCCCACCACUAGAUCCACCACCGCACCCAAAUAAUUGAUCACAAAUCGCCUCUAGAAUCGUUACCUCGCCACCAUAGCACCCGCAAAACCACCACAUCACCAUCACGCACACAACACACAACCACCACCAUUGCUACAGCCAUCUCCUCAAUCUCAAUCCACACAAUUCUACAACCACCACCCCUACCAAAAAAUCUACAAAUUCGUCGUCACCACUGCACACUAAUACCGCCUGCACUACCACAACAAAAACACCUCGAAAACGUCAUAAGAUAAAAGCAGUAGCCCAAAAACCUCCAUCGUUGGUUGCCACAUCGUAAAAACAGCAAGUGGUGCUAUAAUUUCGACCGCAGAAGCUAGGCAAAUGGCAUCUAGAUCUCAGGCAAAUGGCAUCCAGAGCGUGCGAGGCCAUCGCCCAUCGCAUGGUGCAAUGUUAGCGUUGCGCCGACAAAGUCAUGUGAGCACAAUGUCGACAGUGUCGUGUGAGUACAGCCUCCGACAACGUGGGAUAAAGAGAGAGAAAGAGGAAAAGCGGGAUAUAGACAGAGAAAUGAGGAGAAAUUGAUUAGGGUUUGAGAUGAAAAUUGUAUAUUUAAUAUUUAAAUAUGAAAUAUCUGAUUUGUGAAAUGUGAAACUUUCCACCUGAUUUUAAAAUACAGAUCUUUAAAAGUAAGCUGAGG